rnacentral:sRNA from 1 species
AGUGGUUGCUGAGUUAGAACUUGACAGCGUAAUCCCACCGCCCGACAUGAACGAAGAGG